rfam:TPA: Bos taurus chromosome 21, whole genome shotgun sequence.
GGGAAAUGGGUUGAGGGGCCAGCCUCAGGCCCUGAUAACGACUGGGGCA